GGAGGGGUGCCGGAGUGGUUGAACGGGGCAGUCUCGAAAACUGUUGAGCGUGCAAGCGUUCCGAGAGUUCGAAUCUCUCUCCCUCCGCCA
rnacentral:tRNA from 1 species